rnacentral:tRNA from 1 species
UUUGGUGUUGCUCAGUGGUGGUGUGCUUGCUUAGCAUGUGUGAGGCCCUGGGUUUGAUCCCCAGCACUUAAA